GCAGGAUUUCAGAGAAAUCCACCAGAGACCACCUGGAAUCUACACUGAACUGACACUUGGUACCACAGGGGCACUUUGAGCCCCACCCGGAUCACUGCAUUCUUCAGGUGACCCUGGCUGGGAUUUGACUGCUGCAGUCAUCCUGUGACCCCCCAGCUCGCGACAACAGACCUGACACCAGCCACACCCAUCGAGACAUCUGACCUGCUCCCUGCUGUGUCCAUCAAUAGCUAUUCUGGCAGGGCAACCUGGCAUGGCAAUUUUGUGGCUAUUGUAAAGGAAGAGAGCAAAUAUCUCCAAACUACGAUGAGAAGAAGACAACAUCAGUUGUAGACAGCUGUCCCAAGACUCUGGACCAGGACUGUAUUCCCAACCUUAAAUCCACUUAUUUAAACCUUUG